AGUCAGGGUUCACUGUACCUCAGACCCGUGCAGCACUACACGUAUUGGUUCCUAUUCAUAGUUCAUGUUACAAAAAUAGUCGCUCCGGAUUUGGUUUUAUAUUUAUUUGAUCCUUUUGGUAUUUUGGGAUGGACGAUGAAAAGAAAAAAAGAUUCUUUAAUGCAGUUAGAGAGGAAACGAUACGACCCUGUUCAUUGCUGAAUAAACAUCUGUUAAAGUAAACGGAACAGAGUCCCAUUUAUGAACACGGUGUGAAACCACAAUGCCAGCUGUAGCCUGCCCUAUCACAGACUGCAACUAUGUCACGGAUGACCUGGAUGCCACUAUCGUCGCGGCACUCAUCACGGCUCACUCCGCUGUACACAUACCCAAACGAGAACAAUUCAAGUUUAUUUGGUAAAAAGGUACAACAACAUAUAUAACAAUUUCAUACAGUAACCAAUACAUGUUUUGGCACUAAUAAUGUAUAUGGCUGAUUACAUUAUAAAACAUGUUAAUGUAAAAUUAUAUAUAAGUCUCUAAAAAAAGUUAUCAUACUUUUAUAAAUUACAAGAUAGGUAAUGGUUAUUCCUACGAAAAAUGAAAUAACUAAAACAUAUGUUGCCCUUAAAACCAGGAUUACCCAGAAAGCCCUGAAGCCCAUUUCCACUGGGGUCCAUUAAAAGACACAUAAACACUACCUAAAUAAAAAUUACUAUAGUUAUUAUAUUUUGAAGAUAAUUUUAUGUUGAAACUGAUGUUCAAGUUUAAGUUCAAGUUCUUACUUACUUUAAGUCGGUUGACUUAUCAGUUAUAACAUAUAUACAAAACAAUACAGAGACAACAUACAAUAUGAUACACACACACAUACACACGCCUCCACACACACACACACACACCGUGGAGAGUGAACACUAACCAGCAAUCAGCUCAUAUCUCCUUUUGUUUGCUUGUAUUACAAAUUUGCCAAGAUUUCGAAUGUCGGAUACAUUCUCACAAGUAAGUAGUUGAAUUAAUGUAUAUAUGCUUGUAUGUUAAGAUAUAGGUUGUAACUUAAAACACAUUGCAUUGAAGUACAGCACCCAUAUUGUGUACACACUCCCAUAUUUACAUACACAAACAUAUAUAUAGAACAUAUUACGUUAAUACAAUUCCAAUCUUUAGCAGCAUUUUAAUAAAACGUGGUAGAUUCUGUCCCGCUCACAUUUGGAAUAUAAAAAAUUGUAUUCACUAGAUCUUGUAUAGUGUUGCUGCAGUUCUGUUAGCCUUUUGAAUUAUGUUUUAAAUAGGAGGGGCAUUUGUCAUUUAAAAUAUUAAAAGCAUGGUUUACUCUGAGUUGUUUUACUCUGUUACUAACAUUAAGCAUAUUUAGACUAGAGAAUUCAUUGUAACCCAUUCUGGAAAUCUAAUUUAAGAAUAAAUCUAAUAACUUUAUUUUGUGAAACCUGCAGUCUUUGUUUUAGUUUUUAGUUAAACCAGAGUACCAGGAUGAGCAAGAGUAAUCAAAAUGACACUGUAUUAUAGCUGAGCAUAAUAUUUUCCUGGUGGAUAGUGGAAGAGAACUUGUUUGCCUAUACAUUCACCAGAUAAAAAGAAUUCAAUCGACAAAUCAAGAUAAUCGACGAAGGGUUGCAUCAGAAUAGUAUGACCAUUACAAAUAAUGUUCACCAUUUUUAGCUUUCUCUUAGUUCCAAAGAGGAUACAUUCAGUUUUUCCGAGAUGUAAUGACAGUUUGUUAUCAACUAGCCAAUCUAAACAUGAUUCUAGAACUUGGCUCAAUUUGGUAGAUAUAAAUUUUGGGUCAGAGUGAGAAAAGAGAAUGUACUGUCAUCAGCAUAUAAAAUAAGUUUGCAAGCAGGAUCUAUACUGAUUUGCAUGUCAUUUACAUAAGUUAUAAAUAAUAAAGAGCCUAAAAUACUCCCUUGAGGAACUCCACAAUCAACUUCAGCUUCUUUAGAUUUUACUCCAUUUACAUAAACAACUUGUUUUCUAUUUUGCAGAUAAGACUGGACUCAUUCAACAGAUUUAACUCUCAUAAUUUCCAAUUUGUUACAAAGUAUAUGGUGAUCGACUGUGUCGAAAGCUUUCUGCAGGUCAAGCAUUAUUAUACCUGUGAAUAAUCCCUUAGCAGGUUGUUUAAAUAUGAUCAAAUAGAUAAUUUUAACAAGUGUCUGUAGAAUAACAACUUCUGAAUCCAGAUUGUAACUCAUAGAGUAUAUUAUUAGAAACUAGGAAUGUUCCAGUUGGACGUAGACCUUUUUUUCAAGAAUUUUGGUAACUGCAUAGUAUGCUCACAGGUCUGUAAUUUUCAACUUGAAGUUUAUCUUUUUUCUUGAAUAAAGGUUUUACUAUUGCUUACUUGAGUUCAUCGGGUACUGAUCCAGUACUUAUAGAUGUAUUAAUGAUAAAAGUAAUAGGAAUUUUCAAUACAUCAGCUCCGUCCUUCAAAAAUCUAGCAGGUAUUCCGUCCAGACCGGUGUUUUUGUAAGGGUUGAUAUUGCAAAGUUCUCUACGAACAAAAUCUUCAGAAAUAUUUUUCAGAUGAAAACUUACAUUUCUAGUAUUUCUAGUUUGGUAAAAAAAUAAAAAAAAAAAUAUCUAAGCCAAAAUUAAAAGUGUUCUUUGGAUCGGGUAGUCUACUAACUAAGCUUGAGACAAUGGUAGUGAAAAGUUACUGAAAAAAAUUGGCUUUAGUAUGACCGUCAAAACAGCUUUUAUCCUCAAUAUUUAAGACAAUCUUGGAGUUGGAUUUUUUUUCUUUUUGAUAUCCUAGGUCUUUCAAAUGUUGCCACUGUUUUUUGGGUUUGUUACAAUUUUCUUCGAUCUUGUUUUGAAAAAAAGUCUGAUUUUGAUUUUUUGAUUUCUCUUUGGAUCUUAUUUCGAAGUAGAAAAAAAAAUUGUAGUCGGACUCUCAUUGUGUUUUUUAUAUUGAUGCAAAAUUUUUAUCUCUCAAACGAAAAUUCUCUAAAAUUUCUGAGUUCAUCCAUGGUUCAGUUCUCUGCUUCAGUCUGAUUUCUUUGACUGGAGCUACAAUAUCCAAAACUUUCAUAAAUAUUUCUCUAAAUUUUGUCCAAGAUUCCUCCUGACUCUGAUCACAAAAUCAUUCUUCUCAAUUGGCAUUAAGAAGUUUUUCUUUGAAGAGAUCUGUGUUGUAAUUUGUAGAACUUAUUUUCACUGUAUUGCGUUUCUUAAUUGAGCCUCUAGUGACUUUCCUUGUACAAUAAGUAAGAAAGUGAUCACUUAAACCAAUUGAGAUAGUUCCAGACUGGCAGAUUCUGUCUUUGUCAUUACAAAGAAUGAGAUUUAACAGGGUACAUCCGUUAUUUGUAAUUAUUGCAUCUUCAUGAAUGAUUUGAUGAAAUCCAAACAUAUGUAAUAUGGUGUGAUAAGUUUUAUACAUCUGAUUUUCUUUAUGAUUCCAACAAAUAUUAAAAUCACCCAACAUUAUUAUUUCACAAUCAGCUCUCAACAUAGUAAGAAUUUCCUCAAAGUUGUAUAAUUUCAGUUGAGAAAGUUAACCGACCCACGCUCAGUGCCGCAGGAUCUAGCGAGGGGUGGGCAUAUUUCCGAUAUCGGUGGUCGGACUAUGUCAGUGCCACGAAAAUCACUGGACGAGAUAAAGUAAUCCAGCUACUAGAAUGCUGUGACGAACCAUUACGGAAAGACUUGACACGAUCAGCCGGUGUUAGUCUCCCUGACAAAACUGUGGAUGAGGUUUUAGCUGCAAUUAAAAAGCUCUCGGUACGUGAGGAAAACACUAUGGUUGCAAGAGUGACGCUACACAAUAUGCGACAGGAUCGUGAUGUCACUGUCCGGAGUUACGGCGCUAGACUUAAAGGACAGGCCGGUAGAUGCAAGUUUGUGGCCCGGAUGUACAACCGACGUCAAUUAUACUGACGCUACCAUGCGUACUUACCCGAGGAAUUACCGAUCCGGAAAAACAACUUGAUCUGCUAAGACACAAAAAUCAGGACAUGAGUCUUGAGGAUGUAUUUUAAUUUGUUGCGUCACUUUAUAAUAAGACAUGAAAAUUACUCAUCAUUUUAUCAUGCGACAUGACACUUCUUGGUGGCUAAGAACAACUAGGUCUGGUCACGGUUGUAUAUAACAGUAGGAACACGUACAACACAUUUCUGUAAAUUGUAAAUAUUUACCCCUUAUGUACUACUGAUCGUGAUGUAUGAAUGCCCGAAAUGAACAAAUGCUUUUUUUAUUUUUAUAGUGCUGGACUGAAAAUGUGUUUUCUUUCAUAUAAUGUUCCUAUUUAGACUUCCUGAGGCUGGUAUUUGAAUACAUGAUUCACUUUACGGUUUAAAUUUCUAUUUACGGGAAAUCUGUGUUUUACAUAUUAUUCUGAAGUACUGAAUAAGAGGUUGUUUUAGCAUAUACAUGAUACGUUUGAGGAAUUCAUGUGAUAUCUAUGAAUAUAUUCAACAGAUGAAGAAAUGUCAAAAAGGAUUUUCCAUAUCAUUGAUCCAUGCUUUUUAAUUACAUGUAUCUUGUUUAAAACAGAACGCAUGUGACUGAUCCAUGCUUAUAGUAUACACAAUGUUGCAAAAUAAUACAUCUGACUGAUGUAUGUUUAUAAUACUCCGUGUUACAAAAUAUUAUAUCUGACUGAUGUAUGUUUUUAGUACAUCACAUGAUAAUUUCUAGGAUAUACCUUUUUAGUAGCGUGACGCUAAGAGUGGUGCCCCUUCUCCUAGGGAGCGCUGUACAUAUUCUACUUUCAAUUCAUUGUUGUAGUCUGCAAUAAUGGCUUCGAUAUUCGGGACCGGGAAUGCCGAUUGCUUCGUAGAAGCUCAGCAAUGCAUAAAGACGAAGCAGGCGACACAACUUGCCGUCGCAGUCCUUAAAGACUUCCUACUGGAAAGGGAAACCGUAUGUGACUUAGCGGUGAUUCAAUCCAGUGAAUUGAACGGUGUUUUGGUGGAUUUCUAUGCCAAUAUACGCAAUAAGGCAAGGUUUUCGGUGGCAUUUACAAGAACCAUCAUGUGGCAGAGAAUGACAGUCAUGUGAUGUACUAAAUCUAUUAUGACCCUUUUCCGAGGGAACUGUUCUCUUAUAGUGUCGUCUGGGGAGGUAUAGUGCCCGAGCCGUUAGAAUAGUAGUACACAGUGUUACAAAAUAAUAUAUCUGACUGAUGUAUGUUUAUAAUACUCCGUGUUACAAAAUAGUAUAUCUGACUGAUGUAUGUUUAUAAUACACAGUGUUACAAAAUAUUAUAUCUGACUGGUGUAUGUCUAUAAUACACCGUGUUACAAAAUAGUAUAUCUGACUGUUGUAUGUUUAUAAUACACAGUGUUACAAAAUAUUAUAUCUGACUGGUGUAUGUCUAUAAUACUCCGUGUUACAUAAUAUUAUAUCUGACUGAUGUAUAUUUAUAAUCCUCCGUGUUACAAAAUAGUAUAUCUGACUGAUGAAUGUCUAUAAUACUCCGUGUUACAAAAUAUUAUAUCUGACUGAUGUAUAUUUAUAAUACUCCGUGUUACAAAAUAGUAUAUCUGACUGAUGUAUGUCUAUAAUACUCCGUGUUACAAAAUAGUAUAUCUGACUGAUGUAUAUUUAUAAUACUCCGUGUUACAAAAUAUUAUAUCUGACUGAUGUAUGUUUAUAAUACUCCGUGUUACAAAAUACUAUAUCUGACUGAUGUAUAUUUAUAAUACUCCGUGUUACAAAAUAUUAUAUCUGACUG